rnacentral:rRNA from 2 species
AUGCAAGUCGAGCGAACUGAUUAGAAGCUUGCUUCUAUGACGUUAGCGGCGGACGGGUGAGUAACACGUGGGCAACCUGCCUGUAAGACUGGGAUAACUUCGGGAAACCGAAGCUAAUACCGGAUAGGAUCUUCUCCUUCAUGGGAGAUGAUUGAAAGAUGGUUUCGGCUAUCACUUACAGAUGGGCCCGCGGUGCAUUAGCUAGUUGGUGAGGUAACGGCUCACCAAGGCAACGAUGCAUAGCCGACCUGAGAGGGUGAUCGGCCACACUGGGACUGAGACACGGCCCAGACUCCUACGGGAGGCAGCAGUAGGGAAUCUUCCGCAAUGGACGAAAGUCUGACGGAGCAACGCCGCGUGAGUGAUGAAGGCUUUCGGGUCGUAAAACUCUGUUGUUAGGGAAGAACAAGUACAAGAGUAACUGCUCGUACCUUGACGGUACCUAACCAGAA